UACGAAGGGGACUAGCGUUGUUCGGAAUUACUGGGCGUAAAGCGCACGUAGGCGGAUUUGUAAGUCAGGGGUGAAAUCCCGGGGCUCAACCUCGGAACUGCCUUUGAUACUGCAAAUCUCGAGUCCGAUAGAGGUGGGUGGAAUUCCUAGUGUAGAGGUGAAAUUCGUAGAUAUUAGGAAGAACACCAGUGGCGAAGGCGGCGAUCUGGGAAGAUACUGACGCUGAGGUGCGAAAGCGUGGGGAGCAAACAGG
rnacentral:rRNA from 1 species